UCCCUGGAGGACUAGUGGUUAGGCCUUGGCGGUCUCACCACCGCGGCCUGGGUUCGAUUCCCAACCAGGGAA